UGAGGGGGGUUGUGAUUCUUUUUGGUCGUUCGUUCUCCCGGCUAUUCUUCCUGGUUGGCUUGCCCCCGUGUGUGGUUCUUCUUUUUAGACGUGUUCCCCUAGGAGAGGUGAAUUCCUGGGACGUUUGGGCUGGCGUGUGGAGGUAUUUGAGGACUAUUGUGGGGUUUCGGCUAUCUGGCUGUGCAACAGAUAUAUCAGCGAUCGAGUGGAGAUAUUCAGGACAGAAAGAGUGUGAGUUCUGGAAAGCAAGUGAAGACUAGACCGCGCCAUCGCUAUCGGAGGGAAGUUAAGAGACCGGAUCUGGGAUUUCGAUCAAUUGUAUACAUCUGGACUGGGAGUGAGAACGUUGUGAAGUGGACGGAGUCAUCGUUGGGUGAGUGCUGGCUCUAUUUGCACUAAGAGUGGGUGUGCCGUGUCUGAAGUGGUGUGUUUGCACAAUAAAUCGUUUGAAGUGAAGUUACAGAGUGUGGGGAAGAUAUAUAGAGUUAAUGCCGGACGCUCACCACCCCGAGAGCCCACCACCGUCACCGUAAUCCACACCCAGGCACUCAACUGAAGCAUCUCCCAGCCGUAAGCCCCAUUGCUUAUUCAAGAACACAUACUUGCUGUUGAUUACUUACUCUGCUGUGCAGAUCGCAGGAUCCUCUGGGCCGAAUGCCGCAUGUGAUGUCCCUAUGAAAGGAGGUGGACACAAGAAUUAUUCCUUUCCCGGUCACAACCGAAGCCUCUCCCAGCCGUAAGCCCCACUACUUAUUCAAGAACGCAUACUUGCUGUUGAUUACCUACUCUGCUGUGCAGAUCGCAGGAUCCUCUGGGCCGAAUGCUGCAUGUGAUGUCCCUGUAGAAAGAGGUGGACACAAGAAUUAUUCCUUUCCCGGUCACAACCGAAGCCUCUCCCAGCCGUAAGCCCCACUACUUAUUCAAGAACGCAUACUUGCUGUUGAUUACCUACUCUGCUGUGCAGAUCGCAGGAUCCUCUGGGC